rnacentral:piRNA from 1 species
UUUCUCGAGGACUGGUUAGCAUUUUGGUAGC